rnacentral:SRP_RNA from 1 species
GCCAGGUGUCCCACUACAGGCACCUGUAGUCCCAGCUACUCGGGAGCCUGAGGCAGGAGGAUCACUUGAGUCCAGGAGUUCUGGGCUGUAGUGCGCUAUACCUAUUGGGUGUCCACACUAAGUUCGGCAUCAAUAUGGUGACCUCCCGGGAGUGGGGGACCACCAGGUUGCCUAAGGAGGGGUGAACCGGCCCAGGUCGGAAAUGGAGCAGGUCAAAAUUCCCGUGCUGAUCAUUUACACCAUUUUAAGACAGGGAGAAAGAGUGUGAAGAGUUAUAAUAUAGCUAAUGACAUUGCAAUCUUGAUCUUACAAUUUCACAAUUCUCUU